rnacentral:rRNA from 1 species
GACGAACGCUGGCGGCGUGCCUAAUACAUGCAAGUUGAGCGCUGAAGGUUGGUACUUGUACCAACUGGAUGAGCAGCGAACGGGUGAGUAACGCGUGGGGAAUCUGCCUUUGAGCGGGGGACAACAUUUGGAAACGAAUGCUAAUACCGCAUAAAAACUUUAAACACAAGUUUUAAGUUUGAAAGAUGCAAUUGCAUCACUCAAAGAUGAUCCCGCGUUGUAUUAGCUAGUUGGUGAGGUAAAGGCUCACCAAGGCGAUGAUACAUAGCCGACCUGAGAGGGUGAUCGGCCACAUUGGGACUGGGAAACGGGCCAAACUCCUACGGGAGGCAGCCGUAGGGAAUCUUCGGCAAUGGACGAAAGUCUGACCGAGCAACGGCGCGUGAGUGAAGAAGGUUUUCGGAUCGUAAAACUCUGUUGGUAGAGAAGAACGUUGGUGAGAGUGGAAAGCUCAUCAAGUGACGGUACCUACACAGAAAGGGACGGCUAACUACGUG